rnacentral:lncRNA from 1 species
AUAUAAUUUUUUAACCAAAGUGCAGUCUUUACCCUGUCAGGGCCCUGCCUUCACCUCUGCCAGGACUAUCUUCCAUGUCAAGUUUAGACCCGUGUCAUUUUCAAAGCUAAUAAUGGUUCCCCCAUACUUUAGGCAGCAUUUAGAUAUUUGGAUUUGGGAUGGCCUUUUAUGUUUUAACUACAGUGUUAGAAAUCAGAGCCCUUGGAACCACUGGGAUCAGAGGGCAGCAGCAGAAGGCGCCCUUGGUCCUCUUUGAGGGGCCCAGGGCUCUGGAGAGGGCCCCCGUUCCUAGCAGCCACAGUGGCCUGUUGGCACGCAUGUGUGUGUUCCAGCUGCUCUGUGACAUUUCCCUUUGUUUCAGACUCUUGAAAGGCCACGGCCGUCGUGGGAAUUAGUUGACCUUGUGUGUUGGGCCACCCUUGCUGGACAGGACAAGGUGGUGCUAUCAACUCCCUGUGCUCUGAGGUCCUUCGCAUGUUAGAUGAGGCAGCUUCACCAGAAACUAUCCAUGUCUCUUCUGUUAUCUGGGAUAAUUCCACGUGCCUUUACAACACAGCUGUCUGGUUACCUGGGGUCUGGAAAUGCCCUCGGUGCCUCAGUGGUGCCUUCCCACAGGCCCCCCAUGGAGCCAGGCGAUGCCUACAGAUGCCUCAGUGGUACUUUCUCAGGUCCCUUUGCAGAGAAGAGGUUCAGGAUUCCUGCCCACAUUGAUAAGGCGGCUUGGCCAGUAAGUGGCAGGCAUGAACAGGUGCAUUCCAGAAGCGCUGGGGCUGGUCCAGUGCCCUGAGUGGUCUAGAGCAUACCAGAGUGAAACGUUAGGCUGCGUCGGCCUGGUGACUGUCAGGGAGAUGAGGACUCAGAGAAGGGAGCUGUCAGAAUUGCUACCUAUGUGGCAGGGGUCUCACUCUCUCCUCCCUCCUCUUGGGGCCCCUGGCUACUCUGUGACUUCAACAGAGGACAGAAAGGAUGACCAACAAGGCCUCAGGGCAUACCCCCAGCUGCACUGUCCUUGUCCCCAGAAGGGUCCCCAGAGUCUGGGAGGGAGGAGGGGCCAUGGCCAGGAUUAGAAAAGACCGUGCCCCAAGGAGAGAGCACAGAGAUGGGCCAGGGAAGCAGUGGGAUCCUCGGGAAAAGAGGCUGGGAGCAGGUGUCCGGGUGAGGCCCGGGCAGCGGGUACAGGCAGGGACAAGCCAGGAGUCCCAUCAUGGAAGACAUGAUGGCCAGCGGCCAGCACUGUGUGCAGAGAAUGGCCCCUCUGGGGAUGUGCCCGCUGCCCCAUUAGUUGCAGGAAGGCCACCUGGAUGUGAGUUUGGGAGAUGGGCUGGCCCCGAGGCAGCCAGCCCUGAGGUCAGAGUGGGCCACAUGCAUGGGGAUGCCGGGAGGACACAGAGGAGUGCUGCAGGAGAUGGCAGUGGGGGCACUUUCCAGGAUGGGCCCGAGCAACUCAGUCACUGGGUGGAUGUCUCACCACCCCUCCAGGCCUUCCUCAGGGCGAGGCCACUGCCCAGAGGGCACCUGGUUUGUCGCAGAGUAGAAUCAGCUCCAUAUUUUGUAAUCACAUCCACGAAGCUCUGAAGCCAUGGUGGUCCUGGCACCAGCUGGCUCCGUUAGAGGCUUGGGGUGGGAGUGAGCAGGUGGGAGGUGCCCCAGUGACAGGCUGAGUGCUGGAGCCCAGGCUGCCAACAGCCUCCCCAGACUCCUGAGUUGAUGUAAUAAACCCAGCCCUGGUGAAUAAACCUGGCCCUUGCUUAUACCAAGGUGAUCAGUCUUCUCACGACAGUCCUAGCUGUAGGAGAAAGAUCAUUACCUACGGCAUCUGCCACAGCAGUUAAUUUGCCUUCAACUUAAGCUAGUUGCAGUGACAGGAAGGGCCAGGGGGAAAUAUCUGUCCUCAGGACCUCUACCCUAGAUCCUUGUAAGCCACAACAACUUCCCUUCUUUGAGGGCGCGACCAGUGUCACCUGGCUCGCCACUGGGAAGAGCCAAGGCACAUCCAGGUUGGUGGCUGCUGAGCCCCACAGCAUCAGACCAGCCUCUUGUCCCCACCCCACAGAGGCCAAGGGGGUGAUCUGGGAGUAGCACCCCAGCCUGGCCGCUCUCUUGAGGUAACAGGGUUGGAUGGUUAGGGAGCUUGGAGCACUGGCCCAAGCAAGAAAACAGUGGUGUUUUCAGGAGGCCCUGCUGGGAGAUGGAAGACAGCUCCCCACUGGGGGCCUAGGAUUCCAGGAGCUCCCCAGCAGUCCUCCGUGGGACAUACGUGGGUUUGCACCUGCUGCCCUGUCCCGCUGAGGGUGCGGUGCUGAUGGGGUGGCCCUGCACACUGAUGGUAACUCUCACUUUCCCUCUCUCUCAUGCAUUCAGAAAGAGAUGGAUAGUUUAAAAACGAAUACAUGGAACGUCCUGCAGACAUUCGCUUUGUCUGGGAGAAGAAUGGGCGAGCUCUGGAGACCUGUGUCCCUGUGCAGACCCAUGCACUGCCCGAUGGCAGGGCCCAUGCACUCAGCUGGCUGCAGGACGCCAUCAGGGAAAGCGCUGAGUAUCGCUGCUCUGUCCUCUCCUCAGCAGGGAACAAGACUUCGAAGGUGCAGGUUGCUGUGAUGAGACCUGAAGUGACCCACCAGGAGAGGUGGACCAGAGAGCUCUCUGCCUGGAGGGCUGUGGCUGGGGAGCACGACCGGAUGAUGCAGAGCUGGAGGAAGGCGUGGGAAAGCUGUAGCAAGGACACCCUGUAGCCACCAGGAAGGAGUCCCUGACACCGACCUCAACCCCAACAAGACCCUGCUGCCACUGACCACAGCCACCCCCGGAGAAGGCCUGGUCCCCCACAACUGUGAACUGUCUUGCCCAAGCCUGCUCUGAACACAGCCAUUGGGCCACCACCUGAUGGGCAGAGGCGGGACAGUGGAGAAGCCUGGAACCCAAGUGGGCCUGUGACAGGAACUAAGACUUAAAAAAUUAGGUGCUUACCUGGGACAGUAAGUUCUGUCUGGCACAAGCAGGUAACCAGGAUGGCUAACAGGCUUUGAUAGCUGCUCGUGAACUAAAACAGCAGGGUGUGUGCAGGUUCCUCCUCUACGGUCAGGCAGCAGGCUCUGAAGGCUGAUCCUACACCGUCCCAGUGACUCCCCUUGACAGAGUGCCCCCACCCCCUAAUAGCCAACAGGGUUAGCAUGGCCAGCACAGAUCGCUGCUUUUAUUGAUGCAAAUCAAGCCUGCUGCUUCUCCUCCCUGCAGACUUAGCCAAGGAACUCCAAGAUGCAUGACUGGGACAAGAAAAGGUGAGACUCCACAUGGAAAUGCCUUGCCCUAAACCUUGAAUGACUGUGAGAUGCGAUCUGGGAGUGCAUCUGUCAAGUCUUUGUGUUUUCUUCACUAACCUCAGAAUACUGGGCUCUAUUUUAUCAAGCGCUGCAGUUUAUGCCUCUGUCCCGUCAAUGCUCAGCUUCUGCAACAGGACACCAAACUUGAUGCAGAAAGCCAAAUAGGUCAAUUAUGCAAAUCUCCUGGUGCCAUAUUAAAUUUCUUGACGAUGG